AGUGAACGCUGGCGGCAGGCCUAACACAUGCAAGUCGAACGGCAGCACAGUAAGAGCUUGCUCUUACGGGUGGCGAGUGGCGGACGGGUGAGGAAUACAUCGGAAUCUACUUUUUCGUGGGGGAUAACGAAGGGAAACUUACGCUAAUACCGCAUACGACCUACGGGUGAAAGCAGGGGAUCUUCGGACCUUGCGCGAUUGAAUUAGCCGAUGUCGGAUUAGCUAGUUGGCGGGGUAAUGGCCCACCAAGGCGACGAUCCGUAGCUGGUCUGAGAGGAUGAUCAGCCACACUGGAACUGAGACACGGUCCAGACUCCUACGGGAGGCAGCAGUGGGGAAUAUUGGACAAUGGGCGCAAGCCUGAUCCAGCCAUACCGCGUGGGUGAAGAAGGCCUUCGGGUUGUAAAGCCCUUUUGUUGGGAAAGAAAAGCAGCAGGUUAAUACCCCGCUGUUCUGACGGUACCCAAAGAAUAAGCACCGGCUAACUUCGUG
rnacentral:rRNA from 1 species